CUCCUCUCAGGGUCACACUUGGAGAGUUUCCAGUCCUCUACCAGUCUCGGCUGCGGGAGGGAGAGUCAAGGAGAGGCCUGUCCAUUCCAUUCCUAGCUUGGCCAGUGGCUAGUGAGUGGAAGGCAAUCUCCUACAAGU
rnacentral:snoRNA from 1 species